rfam:Dipodomys ordii contig_53043, whole genome shotgun sequence.
GGUGGCUCAGUGGUAGAGUGCUUGCCUUGCAUGCAUGACGCCCUGGGUUCGAUUCCUCAGCACCA